rnacentral:tRNA from 1 species
GUUUAAGUAGUUUAAUUUAGAAUAACAAUUUGUGGUAUUGUGGGUAUAUUUAUUAUCUUGGACU